UGGGGAAUAUUGCACAAUGGGCGCAAGCCUGAUGCAGCCAUGCCGCGUGUAUGAAGAAGGCCUUCGGGUUGUAAAGUACUUUCAGCGGGGAGGAAGGGAGUAAAGUUAAUACCUUUGCUCAUUGACGUUACCCGUAGAAGAAGCACCGGCUAACUCCGUGCCAGCAGCCGCGGUAAUACGGAGGGUGCAAGCGUUAAUCGGAAUUACUGGGCGUAAAGCGCACGCAGGCGGUUUGUUAAGUCAGAUGUGAAAUCCCCGGGCUCAACCUGGGAACUGCAUCUGAUACUGGCAAGCUUGAGUCUCGUAGAGGGGGGUAGAAUUCCAGGUGUAGCGGUGAAAUGCGUAGAGAUCUGGAGGAAUACCGGUGGCGAAGGCGGCCCCCUGGACGAAGACUGACGCUCAGGUGCGAAAGCGUGGGAGCAAACAGGA
rnacentral:rRNA from 1 species